rnacentral:lncRNA from 1 species
GUGUGCAGUGACCAUCCCAAACCCUCCGGACUCGUGUAACGCCAUUAGUUCGCCGUGUGUUUCGAGCGAUCCACCAGUGUCGUCAGUGAGUGCCCUAGUACAGCGCCCGUCCGAGCUGCCUUUGUUCUGCCGAGCUGCCUGCCCGCGCUCUCGUGAAAAGUCUGGUACUGGGGCUUCGAAUUGUAGUGUUUGGAAGACUGUUGAAGGUUGUGCUUUUGUGGAGCUGGAGUUCAUCGGAAGUUCUACAGUGCUUGCGCCAGAGAAACGUCGGUGCCUCUGUACCUGUUAGACGAAGGAGCGUUUGCCAAGUCUUGAAAGGUAGACAUCGGUGACGGUGUAUACGUUGAAAAGGGCCUGCUGAAGAGGCUGUGCCUGGAUGCUUACAACUCAGGCUUCCACUUCGCGGAGGGCCUCCUUAAAGCUCCUUUUUCAAUAGAAGACGUUGAAGGGAGGUCCUUCUUUGGGUGGCUGUCAAAUGCCUUCCACAGAAGGAUCCGUUGGAUUCCAAGAAGGUCAACACCAUAGUAGACUACACAACGCAACAUUUCAGCCUACUUCCAGGGCAGCUGGAGAACUCGUCCUCCUUACUAGCCCGGGGAUAUUAAAUGGAUGUGUUCAAGCACAAA